CCAAUGUCUCUCAACUUAAGAAUUUUCAGUUUCUUAAAAAUUGGUGCUGUGUGUGCGAGUCUAUGUUCGCCAUCAAUCAUUCUGACCACACGCUUUUGUAAUUUCUCGAGCUUAUCUACGUUUGUAAUAAAAGUGUUGCUGUAAAGCAUACAGCAGUAGUUGAUAUACGGAAGGAAAAGUGCGUUAUAUAAAAGAAGCAGCUGUUUAGGUACCAAUAUAUACCUAGCUCUGCUUAUGAGUCCAACGUUACGAGUCAGCGUUGUAGAAAGGUGU